UGCGUAGGUGGUUAGUUAAGUUAGCUGUGAAAGCCCCGGGCUUAACCUGGGAAUGGCAGCUAAUACUGAUUGACUGGAGUAGGUGAGAGGAGUGUGGAAUUUCCGGUGUAGCGGUGAAAUGCGUAGAGAUCGGAAAGAACACCAGUGGCGAAGGCGGCACUCUGGCACCAUACUGACACUGAGGCACGAAGGCGUGGGAGCAAACA
rnacentral:rRNA from 1 species